CUUGCCUAGAAUCCCCCUAGUGAGGGGGUGUGAGCACAGCUCCUGUGGGCAUGCACAGAACCAUGACUUCCAUCCCCAGCCUGGGAGGGUGUGAGGAACAGAGUCUCCCACCAAUCUAGGAGCCAGGAUGCCCACACCUUCUUCCUCCACGCCCUGUGUGUGAUUGAUGGCGUCCUCUCUGGAAGAAGUACCUAGCGCAAGGUUUCUCCCUCAUGACUGAAGUUUCUGGAACGUGUACAUGUCGCUGUCCCGUCCCACCCAGCCCUGAGCUUUAAGGAAGGAAUGCCAAACACAAUCAGGAAAGGUCACCAUCUGGUCAGCGGAAAGUUUUUUGAGCUACGGAGGCCAUGGGUAGAGUGUGAGUGGCCUUACUGCAGAUACACCGGAAGGUCCGCACCCAGCAUGGAUGACGACUCCCCAUGAAUGCAUAGAUGGAGCGUCCCCUCCCUAGUCCUUCCCAGACUAUGUUCUUCUAGCAGGGUGAGAGGAGAGGGCGGACUCCACAGAGUUGUCUCCUGACCUCCACACC